CCUGCCCUCCUCCUCCUCCUCCUACUUAAGCCCACAAACAAGUACCGGCGUACCCUCCGUUGCUCUCUUGCUCUCGCCCUUCUCUUCCCUUCCUUCCUUCUUUCCUUCCUUCUUCUGCUUUUCGAAUAGAACCGACGAUCACCUACCGACCUGUGCUCCCUAUAAAGCCACCCGACCCCCACUUUUCUCCUCUUCGCAGAAUAGAAUCUGUGUUCGUUAGGCGGUAGAGGACUUCCCCUACGCGCAUUCCUCCUCGUGUCGUCGUCAUGGGUAAGUCGUAGGUAAGGCGCAGUUGUUUCCGAUCUCACGCUUGUUUCUUCGAUUUGGUUGAUCAGGUGCGCGGACUAGCCGGAUUGAUCGCUUGAUUAUAGGGUUAAUCGAUCCGUUCGAUUCGAGGUCUAGGUUUGAAGAUUCGCGUCCCCCCCCCCCCCCCCCCCCCCGAUCCCUCUGUAUGGGGAAAUAAUUUUGUGUUGAUUUGUGACUAAUUACGAUUUGUUGUUACCUAGGGUUCUGCGCUUCUUUUGUUUCGAUCUCUGUCCAAUGUCAGAUCAGUUUAAUUGGGCAGCGCAGAAAGUUUGGGCUUGACUGAAACAGGAUAAUUUGAAGGGUUUGGUCUCGAUCUGCCUCUGGUCUACAUGGUUAUUGGUCUGACCAGGAUAAUUUGUUCGCACGCCUAAUUUUUGUGAUAGAACUUACACCUGAUGCUUGUAUAAUGGGAAUUAGUGGAGUGCUCAAAAUUCUGCAGUUUUUGCAUCUGGCAUGUUCUCCUCAUCGUUUUCAGUCUCAUCAGAAGGUUCAGUUAUGAUAAAAUUUUGAGAGUUAGAAACCUAGUGUAACUGGAGUUAUGAAUAUAGGUUUAGAUUCAAAGGAAAUUUAUGAACAAUAGUUCUGGUUCAUGAAUAAUUACGAUAAUAUGCUGGAAUGUUACUCUUGUACAGUAGAACAUGUCCAUAAAUUUUGAACCCCAGAUCUAGUAUAGAACUACAGUUAUAAAUGUAUCUUAAUCAUUUAAUGUGUGUUCUUGUUUAAUUUUGUGGCAUAGUUCCUAUUUAAAUAAAAUCCUGAUAAAUUUACAGUAAAUGUAAUUAGACUAAAGCAAUGUUUAGUAAUUUUUAUAGCCUUAGUUUUAAAGUGCUUUGCUCUAUAAAAUUCAUUUAAGUUUUACAUGUUGUUUAUUUAAAUCAUUUAUUUUGAUUACAUAAAGAUGUUAAGUGUAAUUAGUUUUUUUCUUAAGAUAACCAAGUAUACUACCUAAUGUAUUUAGUUUAGAUGUUUAGAGUAAUCAACCCUGUUACCUAAUGUAACUAAAUAAUUUAGAUAAUACCCGAUAAAUGAAUGCCCAGUAAAAGAGUGAAUAAUAUGUUUGAUAAAUAGAAUGUCUUUCGUGUUGCAUUAUUGAUAAGUUUGGUAGUGUUAGCUCAUAUUUUUGUGAUAGAGAUGUGUGAUGUUUAGUUAAUCCUUUCACACGAGUACUCAUGUCCCUGCCAUCAGGACAUUGUCCUUAUUUUGAUUGCAGUCUCCUUAAGGUCCUUUUCGUAUAAGGAUCCUUGUUAGUUCGUGUGUAUCUGCUGCUUAGCUAAUACAUCUCUGUAGCUAUGCUUCAGCAUCGGCUAUUAGCUCAGCCGCUAAGCAUCCGUUUCAAUUGAAUCUAUGAUGUUUCAUUGUAACGGCUGUCAGCCGAGGCAAUUCAUUUGAUAUACUUCUACCACGGGCUGGUUAGCCGAUACGGUUGUUAUCUUUCUAAUAUCGGCUACUGCCGAUACAAUUCUUUUGUUCUGUCCUACAUCGGCUGCACAUAGUCGAUGUAUCGGAGAUGUACACACGAUCUCAGGGUUCUUGCUAUCAGCUGAUCCAAGCCAAUUUUGGUCGUUUUCUAUAACGGCCAGAUAUAACCAAUCUAUUUUAGUUACCCUUCUCUGUCAGCACACCUAUACCAGCCGAUUUAUCGACUGAGAUAUUGGCCACACACCCCUUUAGCUAUAUACCUAUAGGACACACACCUAUCGGCCAUAUGCCUUUUGGCUACGCAUCCGUAGGACACCCAUCAGCUGUAUGCCCAUUAACCUCACGCCCUCUUUAGUUACCCAUCUAUCGACACCAGCCCAUCGGCCACAUUCUCUUUAGUCUAGUUCCAUGUUUGUAGUCUCAUCAGCUUAAGUCCGAUGUUAAUGUCCUGUUCCGCCUGGUUCUUGUAACGGAUCCAGUUUAGAUGGCCCCAUCGGCUAGAUGUCAAUCGAUUGUUUUACCGACGUAAUCAAACCGAUACAACCACACCUAGUUACCUAGAAUGACAAUUAAGCACAUCUUAGUUAGGCACAGUUAUUACAGAGUAGGACAAUCAGCUACACGGCUGAUAUGACCUAGUAAAUAUAGGAGAACAUUAAAGGUGAAAAUCAGAUACACAGCCGACCCACCAAUCGGCUGAAUACGCCAAGAUAUAGACCAUACGGAUGCAUAGUUUGACUAGUCUACCAAUACACCAUCGGCUAGUUACUCGCACUAAUCGACUAGCAUGCCAAUUCAUAGAUCGACUAGAAUACGUACACAAAUCGGCUCAGCCGAUGUUCACACAAUCAACUACUUUUGUUAAAGCAUAGGUCGGCUAUGCCGAUACGCACGCGAUCGGCUAGGUACGCCGAUACUCACACAGAUUAGUUAAGACACAAUUGCUUUAGGAAACACCCCUCUGCUAAAGUAAUCGAUGCUUUCAUCGAUGAAUUAGGAAACCGAUGCACCUAUCAAUCGGCUACACAGGCCAAAGUACACAACUCUAGAUUAGUAAGAUAGCACAGUAGACACUCCUCUGUUAGGCACGACCAAAGCACAUCAAUCGACUAAACCUGAUGCACCCUCGUCGACUAAGGCAAGCCGAUACACCAACCAUCAGUUAGGCAAAAAUAUGCUGAUAACUAGAUCUAAUCAGCAAGAUCCUUCCUUGUUCUAUCCUUGAAACACUGUACCUUUAAUAUUUCUACCUCUAUCAGCCGUUUUAACCUUAGGUGAAACCAAAUCGGUUAAUCUCUUCUGCUCAUAUACAGAAACUACUCAUGCCGAUUUCUCUUCUAAAUAGAAAUCAGCAGAUUUCCUAAUGCUGUGUAGAUAGCUCCCUCCUUUGCCAAUUCUAUCGGCUGAACCCUGUUGUUUUCAAUCGGCUCUGUUGUAACCUUCAACAAAUAGCCGAUUUUAAUCAGUUGUCCAACUAAAGCUCUAUCCAAGUUAGUUUCUGAUCUUUUUGAUUGUUAUGUGAGUAGUAUGUUAAAUGAGUGUUGGAUUGCAACUUUAUCGUGAAGUAAAAUAGCUUUAUGUGCACACUUUGAAUGUGAUGGUUGCAUUACAUGUAGAUACGACUACUUUCGCAGACGAUACCUAUGAGAUCUCCCAGGAGUCUGCAGAGAAUGUUUCUGAAGACCAUGUGAACGUUGUUGCAAGAUUCUCUGAAGGCCCGAACCCAGGUUCGGAAGAUCUUAACUUUACUGACUCCAGCCCCACCAGCAAAGGCAAGCCCCGGACAUGAACCUACUAUUUUUCUUACACUGCAAUUUGUAUAUUUAUAUAUAUCUUUCUGCAUUAGAGUUCUUAGGAGUUGAAUUGAAACCCUAGUUGUAUAUUUCUAGGAACCCAUGUACUGAAUAUUAGAACCUGAGUCCGAUUAGUUGAUAUAUUAAUAGGACUGGUAGAAGUCAAGUAAUUUCGUGUCACUCGCGCGAUAUAGAAAUUGGUUGUCUACAAUUCUACCAUCACUAUAAGGAUGACGGAUGGGGUUAUGUGCAGUAUCAUGGAAAGGAAUAAUACCCCAUCUGUGUUGACAAAUUGGUUAAGGUCGCGGUGUGUGGUGAUCGGGGUUAAGCGUUUGAAAGUACUAGCCACAUGCCUGAGUUAUGGGUAAGCGGCAAGUCUAGUAACCAAUCGGCCCGAGGAGUGGACAUACCUCCCACCACUCGUAUUUGGUUUUUCCGGUUACUCGCUUCGAUGUGUGGGAAUAUGUGUUGCAGGGCAACCAGGAGCACGGCCGUGUAGUCGCUCUACAGGUGUAUGUCCUGCACAUUGGAUGUGCGUAUGGUCCUGCAGUCGCUUGUGGUGGCUCUGAUUCACGAGUCGGAAUGAAAGGCAAAUGGUUGCUUCGGAACAAUCGUUGAAUGUUCCAAGCGUGUGAGUUAGGUUUACCCUUGCAAGGUUAGAAAUUCGAUUCAGAAUCAUCCGUUUCUCACGGAGAUUGAGACUGCUUGAUCCCUUUGUCACACAGAGUAAUAAGAGUACCUAUAUGAUGAGUAAUGCUGGUGUUUGUUAUAAUAAGUUCUACCAUGCUUGAAUAGCUAUACUUGCUUACCUAGAAUGGAUAAUCAACUAGAACCUGAAAGCUAAAAGUUGAAAUUAAGGAUCUACUCUUUGUUGCUUUUCAGCUGAAACUAAACCCAGAACUAUUAUAAGCCUUCAUAAGUCUAGUUACAUGGCUAAGUAUACCAUGAGACGGGUAAACCUUGUUGAGUAUUAGUAUACUCAGCCUUGCUAGUUAUAUGUUUUUCAGGUAAUGUCUUUGAAGACCCUACUCUUCCCCUGUCUUGGCCCUGUGCUCUUCUAGAUGGUUGGUCUGUGGAAUGGGAUCCGUCCCCGGCCAACACUAAUGAUACCGAGUGAUGUCGUGCCUGGGCUUAGCAUGACAUCCGUCUUGACGACGUGUUGUAAUCAUCGCGUUUGUUUUCCGCUGCCAAGAACCUUAACUUUAACAGUUUGUAAUAAUUUUACUAAAUGUGGAACUUAGUACUACUUUUGGAAACUCUUGUAAUGUAAUUCCCUAUGAUGUGGAAUAUGAUGGUGACUAUAUCUCUG
rnacentral:lncRNA from 1 species